CAAACAGUAAAUCAGACUGCUGGCCCUGCAAGAAAAAAACAAAUUGCUCUUGAUAUCCAGCAUUAUCAGAGACUGGCAUCCUCGCCAAUGUUUCUGUGGCUGCGACUGUGAGCAACUCCACUCCAGCAGCUGCAUCAAGCAGAAGUGAUCACAUACACUAAUCAAGACCUUGGACUUCUGGAGUUCCAAAAUUAAUGAGCCCUGAGAUGACACUAGUCUGCAUCUAGAGUAGAUUAUAUUAAAUUCUGGGCUGAGAUCCUAGCCAAUAAAGAAAUGAAAGAAUUAUGAUGGAGGAGGAAAGAGAGGAGAAAGAAAUAAAAAAAGAAGAAAAAAG